rnacentral:misc_RNA from 1 species
UUAUUAUCUUAUUAUAGUUAUCUAACCUAUACUGAUAGUUAGAGAACUAAACCGAUAUCGUUAUCGCAUGGUAAUUUCUAGUAUUCUACUAAAUAUUAUAUUCAAUUUUUCCAGUUUUCAUCAUUUAUUUUUUAUUUGUAACUGCUAAAUAAGAAUUGACGAAUCUAGGUUGAUAUUCGUAUAAUUCUUAACAAACUAGUCAUUUGGGAUAAUUGAAAUAACUAGUAGUUUGGUACAGUUGAAACGCCGAACAUCUAAAAAUUUAUGGUUAUUCUUUUUUUUUGAAUGAAAAACCGAUUGGUAUCGAGUUCACACAUCCGCCAUUGUUUCUAACAUUUUUUUUUGCAUAGAGUAUUGUAACCAAGUGAUUGAAUAGCUGUAGUUGUGCAUGCGGCUUUAAUGAAUGUAUAAAUUGUAAAUAUAAUGUUUAAACAUACAUAUAUGAACAGGUGUCAGUCCUAGAUUCGUCAAUUCUUGUCAGACUGGCUUUUUUGCAGAGGUAUACUUCUAACAUUUACGCAACAUCGUUUGGCAGACGCAGUAAAAGAUAAUGGCUUAGAGGGCAGAUUUAGCAUCCUCAGAUAGAUUAUAGGACAUUCAUCAUUCUUAUUUUGUUGCUGUAAUUUUGUUCUGAAUGUCUAUUAAGGUUUAUGGAUAUGUCUCUUUUAAGUUAUACUUAAAAACUAAAAAUAUAUUUGUAGUUGAUUUAAUUAUUUUUCUUCUACCUUAGCUCUGAAAGAUGAUUUGUGGAGCUAUUAAAAAGUAUACCUCUUUGCUCUUAUUUCUUGUGCCAAUUGCAUUAUUUCUCUGUUUAAAACGGAUUAAAGAAAAUAAAAUUAUAGAAGAUCUAUUCGUCAAAGAAAAACUUAUACCAAAGUAUCUUGUUAAGGAGAUUGACUGUUCCAGGAUUUUUAAUAAAGAUUACCACUAUAUUGAUCAUUUGAUUUCGUUAGAGAAAGAAUCAAAUUUAUCUUUUAAACAGAAGAGCGAUAGUGAAUAUGCAGAAGUUGAAAGUAACUGUGAAAAUUAUAGGAAAUCCUUUGUUACUGAUUAUCUAAGUUAUGAAGAGGCGAGUUUCCCUAUUGCAUUUCAAAUUGUUAUGUAUAAGGAUGUUGCUCAAUUAGAGAUCUUAUUAAAGGAAAUAUAUAGACCCCAGAAUGAAUACUGCAUCCAUGUUGAUAGGAAAUCUAACAUUGACAUUCAAUACGGUGUAAGAUCUAUUGCGAAAUGCUUUAGUAACAUUGAAGUCAUUGAUCCCAUUGAUUCUGUUGAUGUACGUUGGUCUAAAUUCACUAAUUUGGAGCCAGAAAUAAUAUGUGCUAGAAACUUAUGGAAAAGAAAAACCAAAUGGAAAUAUCUUAUAAACUUGACAGGUCAAGAAUUUCCUCUUCAAACUAUGUACGAUAUUGUUCAAAUUCUCAAAGCUUUUAAUGGUUCAAAUAGUAUACAAGGAACAGUUAAAGGUAUUAUUAAGAGUAGGUUCGAAGGGGUGAAAGAUUUUGGCCGAAAUGUAGUUGUCAUGAAGGGAGCAGUACAUAUUAUUGCUCAAAGAGGAUAUAUCGAUUAUAUUCUUCAUAAUAAAACUGCUAUCGAUUUCCUCUCAUGGGUUAGGCAAGUUAAACAUCCAGAUGAAACAUAUUUCGCUAGUUUAAAUCAUAGUCCGAAACUUAAAGUUCCUGGUUCGUAUCUGGGAAAAGUCGAUAGUUCAGACUAUCCUUUUUUGACGAGAUACAAAAACUGGAAGCAGAAUGGUGAAUAUUGCUAUGGAAAGAGAGUGCGUUCAAUAUGUAUAUUUGGCAUGAAGGAUAUUCCAGCUCUUAGUACCCUAGAUUAUAUAUUUGCUAAUAAAUUUCAUAUAAAUUAUCAACCUUAUGCUCUACAAUGCAUGGCCGAACUUAUAAGAAAUAGAACUAUUUACCAACAUAUUGGAUUGAGAAAAUUUGAUGUUCAACUAUAUAAAAAUCUCGAUAUGUCUCAUAAUCAUUAUGGACCAAACGUAUAAUGAGGAUGGCUUGCACACUAAUCAAAUCUAUUGAACAUUUCCAACAUUUUAUCAUUAUGUACUUGUCUAAUUCUUUCAUCAAUUCUCUUUUCGUAAGGUGUAUUUUUAAAAAUUCUACUUUUAGCUUCAACGUCAUUCUUAUAUACUUUAUAAAGGAUUUUACUGUAUAUGGUAAAUCCUCAUUUUUAGUUCAAUACG